rnacentral:tRNA from 1 species
UUAUUAGCUCAGGUGGUUAGAGCGCACCCCUGAUAAGGGUGAGGUCCCUGGUUCGAGUCCAGGAUGGCCCACUGCGUGGGGGUUUAGCUCAGCUGGUAGAGCGCCUGCUUUGCAAGCAGGAUGUCAGCGGUUCGAGUCCGCUAACCUCCACCACGAAAGUGAAGGAUUGAAUUCAGCACAGUGUGUUUUGGAGUAUUCCGAAGCAUAGUCUGCUGGGUGAGAGCCUGGCAAAGAACCUUGAAAACUGAAUAUGAGAGAAGUGUAAGGUAGUACACACAGAACAUUUAAGUUCGUUGAGAGAAGAGUGAGUUUUGUUGGGUAAAGCCAAUAAAACGA